UCCAUAGGCGAGAUGGUCUCCCAAGUUCUGGCCGGCCUCGACCUCGACUACAACCCGGUCGUGUCGGCGCUUGCUGCGCGGGUUGAACCCGUGACCGUCCAGGAGCUAUACACGCAGCUUCUUAGUUUUGGUG